CUUCAGGACAGUUCUGGAAUAGAAAAGUAGUCUGGAACUUCUUGGCCCUGUGGAUAUGAGCCUCUGAGAAAGUAGCCUGUGCCUAUAUUCCACAAUCGUAGCUUUUAUCCACAUUGUGCCCCUGCUGCUUGAGUUCAGCGCUUAAAGAGCGUCAACAGAAUGUUAAGACCGAUUUGAUAUAGAAUUUCUACACACCCAGCAGUAUUGGACUUGUUGGUUGCAUUCAGCAUUGCGAUAUAUAAAAACAGCUGAUUCUAGCUUCUACAACACAAAACACAGCAUGGCAUAUUGUCCCAGUUAUAAAAAUUACAAACACCAACAAUUAAAUCCUAGGUCUUUCAACUCCGAAGGGGGCAAGCAUUCCCCACUCCCCACUAUCUGUUUUUGAUCAGUUUCAUUGUGUUGUGAUUGCAGCUUUUACUGAGUUGGAAAAGAUCAUUGAUGAAUAAAUAUGGAAGCUUUUACCAUG